CGAGGCAUCUUAUGACGUAAAAAAUUAUGAACCAUGUCAGGUCAGGAAUGAAGCAGCAUUAAGUAAUAUUUUCCGGGUAUAAGUUAUUUGUCAAAGU
rnacentral:SRP_RNA from 1 species